rnacentral:rRNA from 1 species
AUUGAACGCUGGCGGCAGGCUUAACACAUGCAAGUCGAACGGCAGCACGGGAGCAAUCCUGGUGGCGAGUGGCGAACGGGUGAGUAAAGUAUCGGAACGUGCCCAGUCGUGGGGGAUAACGUAGCGAAAGUUACGCUAAUACCGCAUACGAUCUAUGGAUGAAAGCGGGGGAUCGCAAGACCUCGCGCGAUUGGAGCGGCCGAUAUCAGAUUAGGUAGUUGGUGGGGUAAAGGCUCACCAAGCCGACGAUCUGUAGCUGGUCUGAGAGGACGACCAGCCACACUGGGACUGAGACACGGCCCAGACUCCUACGGGAGGCAGCAGUGGGGAAUUUUGGACAAUGGGCGAAAGCCUGAUUCAGCCAUGCCGCGUGCAGGAUGAAGGCCUUCGGGUUGUAAACUGCUUUUGUACGGAACGAAAAGGUUUGGCCUAAUAAGCUGAGCUCAUGACGGUACCGUAAGAAUAAGCACCGGCUAACUACGUGCCAGCCGCCGCGGUAA